UACGUAGGGGCCGAGCGUUGUCCGGAGUUAUUGGGCGUAAAGCGCGCGCAGGCGGCUUGGCGCGCCCGACGUGAAAGCCCCCGGCUUAACCGGGGAGGGUCGUCGGGUACGGUCAGGCUUGAGGGCGGGAGAGGGUGGUGGAAUUCCCGGUGUAGUGGUGAAAUGCGUAGAGAUCGGGAGGAACACCUGUGGCGAAGGCGGCCACCUGGGCCGACCCUGACGCUGAGGCGCGAAGGCGUGGGGAGCGAACAGG
rnacentral:rRNA from 1 species